rnacentral:rRNA from 1 species
AUUGAACGCUGGCGGCAGGCCUAACACAUGCAAGUCGAACGGCAGCACAGAAGAGCUUGCUCUUUGGGUGGCGAGUGGCGGACGGGUGAGUAAUGUCUGGGAAACUGCCCGAUGGAGGGGGAUAACUACUGGAAACGGUAGCUAAUACCGCAUAACGUCGCAAGACCAAAGUGGGGGACCUUCGGGCCUCACACCAUCGGAUGUGCCCAGAUGGGAUUAGCUAGUAGGUGGGGUAAUGGCUCACCUAGGCGACGAUCCCUAGCUGGUCUGAGAGGAUGACCAGCCACACUGGAACUGAGACACGGUCCAGACUCCUACGGGAGGCAGCAGUGGGGAAUAUUGCACAAUGGGCGCAAGCCUGAUGCAGCCAUGCCGCGUGUAUGAAGAAGGCCUUCGGGUUGUAAAGUACUUUCAGCGGGGAGGAAGGCCGUGAGGUUAAUAACCUUGCCGAUUGACGUUACCCGCAGAAGAAGCACCGGCUAACUCCGUGCCAGCCGCCGCGGUAAAAC